UCUAUAGGGAAAAAAAGAGGUGAAUGAGUCGCGCCGACGAUGACUCCAACUUGAAAUUUCGGUGUGAAAUCUACUCUUGCUAUUCCGUGGGUUGCUAAAUAACGAAGAAGUCAAGUUCCUUUCAAAUCAAAGGUGGAAUACAAGUUUAAAGGUGAAAACUUGAAGUGACGGAAGCAACGAGGCCCUGACGUCACCAGCCAAGCACGUGUAUCAGCUGCCGCUAUCCCACCCUGGGGGGUAGGGAGGGGAAAACAGGAAGCAAAUAUCACCAUUAUGGGGGUAGAUAUCGUAUUUGCAUAGCGAUAGUGAUCCACAAAAGUAAUUUCUGGUUUUGUCAUACGAGUUGCAGUGCUGUCUAGGCUGCCUAAAAAUUUUGAAAAUUCAGACGGAGGGGAAGGAAGUUUUUGAAACGUCUGUUUUGCUCACGCUGCCGAAAAAUCGGCCUAAUCUCGAUGAGGAUCCUUUUUUCUACAAUUUAUUGACAAUUGAUAAGAACCACCAAAAUAACGAAA